rnacentral:rRNA from 1 species
UACGGGGGGUGCAAGCGUUAUCCGGAAUCACUGGGUUUAAAGGGUGCGUAGGCGGGAUAUUAAGUCAGUGGUGAAAGUCUGUUGCUUAACGAUAGAAUUGCCGUUGAUACUGAUGUUCUUGAAUUGGGUUGAGGUUAGCGGAAUGUGACAUGUAGCGGUGAAAUGCAUAGAUAUGUCAUGGAACACCAAUUGCGAAGGCAGCUAGCUGGGCCUUGAUUGACGCUGAGGCACGAAAGCGUGGGGAGCAAACAGG